GUACUGACCCUACGGGGGGCAGCAGUGGGGAAUCUUAGACAAUGGGCGCAAGCCUGAUCUAGCCAUGCCGCGUGAGUGACGAAGGCCCUAGGGUCGUAAAGCUCUUUCGCCUGUGGUGAUAAUGACAGUAGCAGGUAAAGAAACCCCGGCUAACUCCGUGCCAGCAGCCGCGGUAAUACGGAGGGGGUUAGCGUUGUUCGGAAUUACUGGGCGUAAAGCGCGCGUAGGCGGAUUGGAAAGUUGGGGGUGAAAUCCCGG
rnacentral:rRNA from 1 species